rnacentral:rRNA from 1 species
AUUGAACGCUGGCGGCAGGCUUAACACAUGCAAGUCGAGCGGGGGAGGUUGCUUCGGUAACUGACCUAGCGGCGGACGGGUGAGUAAUGCUUAGGAAUCUGCCUAUUAGGGGGGGACAACAUUCCGAAAGGGAUGCUAAUACCGCAUACGCCCUACGGGGGAAAGCAGGGGAGCUUCGGACCUUGCGCGAAUAGAUGAGCCUAAGUCGGAUUAGCUAGUUGGUGGGGUAAAGGCCUACCAAGGCGACGAUCUGUAGCGGGUCUGAGAGGAUGAUCCGCCAAACUGGGACUGAGACCCGGCCCAGACUCCGACGGGAGGCAGCAGUGGGGAAUAUUGGACAAUGGGCGGAAGCCUGAUCCAGCCAUGCCGCGUGUGUGAAGAAGGCCUUUUGGUUGUAAAGCACUUUAAGCGAGGAGGAGGCUACUAGUACUAAUACUACUGGAUAGUGGACGUUACUCGCAGAAUAAGCACCGGCUAACUCUGUGCCAGCCGCCGCGGUAAAAC